rnacentral:misc_RNA from 1 species
UUUCCGUAGGUGAACCUGCGGAAGGAUCAUUAACAAUCACAAUGCAUAAGGGGGUGGGAUGGUGUAUGAGAUGAGGAGGUUGGCUGGUUAAUUCCACUGCUUUCAAUUCAAACACAACAACACCCAUCCCAUCAUGCAUCUUACAAAAACCCAAAGGUUGCAUCACCAGUUGGCUGAUGUGACCUUCGGUGGUCUUUGACUGCUUGCAUCAUGUUAUCUUGUCAUUGGUUUGGUAAGAUUUUGCAAUGUAUAAAAGGCUUUAUAGUUGGUUGAUUGGCUGGCUGGUCGGUCUAUAGUAUUGUUCCACCCAGCCAUUAUCAUCCGCUACACACAUAUACGAUUUAGCUUAGCUUUUAAUGUUUGACUGAAUUUUUAUUAAUAAAGCAAUUUAUUUAUACAACUUUUAACAAUGGAUCUCUUGGCUCUU